ACAACAGCACUGUGAGACAGGGUCAUCAUCCCCACUUUACAGGUGUGAUCCUCACAACAGCACUGUGAGACAGGGUCAUCAUCCCCACUUUACAGGUGUGGAAACAGAGGCUCAAGGAAGAGCAUUUGCCCACAGUGGCACAGCGAGUCAUAGGGGAGCAUCAGUUUGAAAGUCCAGGCCUUCUCACUCCAGGGCCCUUCUAGCUACCUAAGCUGAGGGUUUGGCAGUAAAUGAGGAUCCCAGCUCCAAGAUGGUUGGUUUGGAGCCCAAACAUUAGAUCCCCUUGAGCACAUAGUGCAGAACCCUGAGUCUAGGAACCCUGGCUCUACAGCAUGACUUGCUGAUCUUGUGCAAGUCUUUUAACCUCUCCACACCAGGGCCGUGCUGGUCCAGCAGGAUUCCCUAUCAGGGAGAGGGGACUUGGUAAAACCAUCUGGAGAGCAUGUUUGCGAACCCCAGUGGGCCGGCCUCUGCUCAGAGAGCCUGAUGUUGCUCCCUUGCAAGGAAGAGGUGCAGGGCAUUGCAAUCUGCUAGCACACCUCUCACACCUGGUGAGAAUCAGUUCUGCUCUCCAAGGUUCUGACCUCUGAGAGUGACGUAAGUCCAGAGAGCCACACCACUACUCCUUGAGAGACCUUCAGCAAAAUGCCCGUGCGCUCAAAGAAAUUGGGGUCAGGAUGCUUUAAAAGCAAAAAAGGCUUAAAAGUAAUUUGGGAGGGGAAGAUGACUUGAAAAGGAAAAGAAA